GGACCAUCCUCCAAGGCUAAAUACUCCUGACUGACCGAUAGUGAACCAGUACCGUGAGGGAAAGGCGAAAAGAACCCCGGCGAGGGGAGUGAAAAAGAACCUGAAACCGUGUACGUACAAGCAGUGGGAGCCCCACCACUAAGCCAGUGGUGAACUCCACAUACGCAUCCUUUGCUGAGGAUACGGUUAACGGAGCGCAAGCGACGUUCAACCUCAAAAGAAGCAGAGGGGGCUUAGUGGUGGGGUGACUGCGUACCUUUUGUAUAAUGGGUCAGCGACUUAUAUUCUGUAGCAAGGUUAACCGAAUAGGGGAGCCGGAGGGAAACCGAGUCUUAAUUGGGCGUUAAGUUGCAGGGUAUAGACCCGAAACCCGGUGAUCUAGCCAUGGGCAGGUUGAAGGUUGGGUAACACUAACUGGAGGACCGAACCGACUAAUGUUGAAAAAUUAGCGGAUGACCUGUGGCUGGGGGUGAAAGGCCAAUCAAACCGGGAGAUAGCUGGUUCUCCCCGAAAGCUAUUUAGGUAGCGCCUCGUGAAUUCAUCUCCGGGGGUAGAGCACUGUUUCGGCUAGGGGGCCAUCCCGGCUUACCAACCCGAUGCAAACUGCGAAUACCGGAGAAUGUUAUCACGGGAGACACACGGCGGGUGCUAACGUCCGUCGUGAAGAGGGAAACAACCCAGACCGCCAGCUAAGGUCCCAAAGUCAUGGUUAAGUGGGAAACGAUGUGGGAAGGCCCAGACAGCCAGGAUGUUGGCUUAGAAGCAGCCAUCAUUUAAAGAAAGCGUAAUAGCUCACUGGUCGAGUCGGCCUGCGCGGAAGAUGUAACGGGGCUAAACCAU
rnacentral:rRNA from 1 species